AUUUUCUUAGUAUAAAAAGUAUUUUUGACUUCCAAUCAAAAGGUCUAGCCUCUAGAGAAAAUA
rnacentral:tRNA from 2 species